rnacentral:rRNA from 1 species
GACGAACGCUGGCGGCGUGCUUAACACAUGCAAGUCGAACGGACAGGCCCUGCUUUUGUGUGGUGCUCGAUUGGCGAACGGGUGAGUAACACGUGAGUAACCUGCCCUUGACUUUGGGAUAACUUCAGGAAACUCGGGCUAAUACCGGAUAUGAGCUCCUGCUGCAUGUUGUGGGUUGGAAAGUUUCGGCGGUUGGGGUUGUACUCGCGGCUUAUCAGCUUGUUGGUGGGGUAGUUGCUUACCAAGGCUUUGACGGGUAGCCGGCCUGGGAGGGUGACCGGCCACAGAGGGCCAGGGGAAGGACCAGGAGUCAAACGGGAGGAAGGGGCGGGAAACAUACCAAAAAGGGCGGAGGCAGGAAGCAGCAACGCCGGGUCGGGAAAGACGGCUUUGGGGUAGGAACACGCUUGGGCGUGAGUGGAAGCGUGAGUGCGGGAAAUGGGUAAAGAGGCACGGCUAAAUACGGG